rnacentral:lncRNA from 1 species
UGUACCACGCAAACACACACACACACACACACACACACAUAUGCCACAUGUCUGAAACCCAUAGGAAAAGUCCUAAAGCCAUUUUGACUCUUUCAGUCACCUCAAAUAUUUCUCUUCAAGGUCGAAGGAAAUGCAGAAACCUCCCCAUUGUCUCUGUCCUCACAAAUCCAAAUCCUGCCUUAAGGGCACAUUUAAGGUGUGAAUAGGGUGAGUCUGUGACCUGGCUCGGGAAUUAAGUAUUAUCAUUACAAAAGAAUGGCCAGGCUCCCCAGUCAGGUGACCAUUAACAGGUAACCUGGCAGACAGGGUAAAAACUGUCAGGAAAAAGCAGCAAUGCAAAAGCAAGCUGCAGGUGUCUGGAAUGCAAAACACAAUGUUGAUGUCUGGGACUGUACUCUUGGAAAAAGGGGGCAGUCUAUUCAGUGUUCUGAGCACCGGAUGUUAGCUCAGAGUGUCAUCUGACCUGUACUGGAAGUACAUGGGUGGAGUCUGUGUGGUCUUCUGCUGGAAACUGGAGGGUACAGACAUAUUUCUCUGUACUGCUAGAGUGACAGAAAUAAAAGGAUGUAAAUAGAUUUCUGUCUGUCUCUUUUCUCCUCCUGAGGGAAGCAGGGAGGAGGGAGGAGUGUGUGUGUCCCUCUCACGUUGAGUGGGAUCGCCGAUUUGUGACCUUGCCUGUAUCCUGCCGGGGAAGCAGACGGGAAGGUCAUCAAGGAUCUCGAGCCGAAUGCCUGGUGUGAGGCCAGUUCCCUCUGACUGAUGGCUGAGAAUCCUGACAAAAACAACGCACUCAGAUUUCUGUUGUAGACCGCCUUUUCUGUGAUGAAAGUAUGACGUAUCUGGGGGGUGGUCUUGGGCUACACCCCUUCUGUGAUCCCCAGCUGCUGCUUCUCUCUGGUCCUGCCCGCUGCCGGCAUGUGGCCCCUGGAAGGCUGCCUGGAGGAAACGCAGCCUUUGGGCUGCAGUCAGGUUCCACGCCCGUGACCUCUUCAUUGCAAUUCCGAUAUGCCAAGUUUAGACAACGGAGGGAGCCCCUCUGUUCAGGGGCACAAGGCGGGACUGUGUCAUGGUUGAUGAAUGAGGGCAGCCACAGCCCUGCUUAUGGCUUUCUGGGAGCAUCUGGUUUUUACUGGAGGAAGCUGGCUUCUACACCACCUGGACCUUUGGCCUGA